rnacentral:rRNA from 1 species
AUUGAACGCUGCGGCAUGCCUUACACAUGCAAGUCGAACGGCAGCACGGGAGCAAUCCUGGUGGCGAGUGGCGAACGGGUGAGUAAUAUAUCGGAACGUGCCCAGUCGUGGGGGAUAACGCAGCGAAAGCUGUGCUAAUACCGCAUACGAUCUAUGGAUGAAAGCGGGGGAUCGCAAGACCUCGCGCGAUUGGAGCGGCCGAUAUCAGAUUAGCUAGUUGGUGAGGUAAAGGCUCACCAAGGCGACGAUCUGUAGCUGGUCUGAGAGGACGACCAGCCACACGGGAACGGAGACACGGUCCGGACGCCUACGGGAGGCAGCAGUGGGGAAUUUUGGACAAUGGGCGAAAGCCUGAUCCAGCAAUGCCGCGUGCAGGAUGAAGGCCUUCGGGCUGUAAACUGCUUUUGUACGGAACGAAACGGUGAGCUCUAAUACAGUUUGCUAAUGACGGUACCGUAAGAAUAAGCACCGGCUAACUACGUGCCAGCCGCCGCCGUAA